rnacentral:rRNA from 1 species
AUUGAACGCUGGCGGCAGGCUUAACACAUGCAAGUCGAGCGGAGAUGAGGUGCUUGCACCUUAUCUUAGCGGCGGACGGGUGAGUAAUGCUUAGGAAUCUGCCUAUUAGUGGGGGACAACAUUCCGAAAGGAAUGCUAAUACCGCAUACGCCUUACGGGGGAAAGCAGGGGAUCUUCGGACCUUGCGCUAAUAGAUGAGCCUAAGUCGGAUUAACUAGUUGGUGGGGGAAAGGCCUACAAAGGCGACGAUCUGUAGCGGGUCUGAGAGGAUGAUCCGCCACACUGGGACUGAGACACGGCCCAGACUCCUACGGGAGGCAGCAGUGGGGAAUAUUGGACAAUGGGCGGAAGCCUGAUCCAGCCAUGCCGCGUGUGUGAAGAAGGCCUUUUGGUUGUAAAGCACUUUAAGCGAGGAGGAGGCUACCUGGAUUAAUACUCUAGGAUAGUGGACGUUACUCGCAGAAUAAGCACCGGCUAACUCUGUGCCAGCCGCCGCAGUAACAC